rnacentral:rRNA from 1 species
ACAAUGGGCGAAAGCCUGAUGCAGCAACGCCGCGUGAGGGAUGACGGCCUUCGGGUUGUAAACCUCUUUUAGUAGGGAAGAAGCGAAAGUGACGGUACCUGCAGAAAAAGCACCGGCUAAUUAC